rnacentral:lncRNA from 1 species
CAGCCUCCAGGAAAAAGAUUUUAGAUUGAUGAUGCUGAAGAUGAUGCAAGACAUUGGAAAUAAACUGGAGGCAAAGAUUGAUGAUAUACAGUAAACACUGAGCAAAGAUAUUAAAGAUUUAAAACUUAAGCAAGCAGAGAUGCAAAACACAAUAACUGAAAUAAAAAAUUCAUUAGAAGCAACCAACAGCAGAAUAUAGGAGGCAGUUGAACGAAUAAGCAAGGUGGAGGAUAGACUAGUGGAAAUCACUGAUGCAGAACAGAAAGGAGAGAAAUUAUUGAAAAGAAAAUCUGAGACAAUGUUAAAUGCACCAACAUCCAUAUUACAGGGGUGCCAGAAGGAGAAGAGAGAAUGGGACAGAAAAAAUAUUUGAAGAGAUAAUAGAUGAAAACUUCCCUAACAUGGGAAAGGAAUGACUCACUCAAAUCCAGGAACCACAAUGAGUACCAUACAAAAUAAACCCAAGGAGGAACACCCCAAGACACAUAUUAUUCAAACUCACCAAAAUUAAAGACAAAGAGAAAAUAUUGAAAGCAGCUAGGGAAACUAAACAAAUAACACACAAGGAAACACCAAUAAGGUUAUCAGCAGAUUGUUCAGCAGAACCUCUUCAGGACAGAAGGUAGUGGCACCAUAUAUUUAGAGGAGAAAGAGAAAACCCCAGAAAAACAACUACAUAAUCUGGAGAUUAUCAGCCUCUAGGAAAAAGACUAUAGACUGAUGAUGCUGAAGAUGAUAAAAAAGACAUUGGAAAUAAACUGGAGGCCAAGAUUGAUAAUUUAUAGCAAACAUUGAGCAAAGAAAUACAAGAUUUAAAACUUAAGCAGAGAUGCAAAACACAAUAACUGAAAUAAAAAAUUCAUUAGAAGCAACCAACAGCAGAAUAUAGGAGGCAGAUGAAUGAAUAAGCAAGGUGGAGGACAGACUAGUGGAAAUCACUGAUGCAGAACAGAAAGGAGAGAAAUGAUUAAAAAGAAAUGAAGAGAGUCUCAGAGCAAUUGAGAAAAUGUUAAAUGCACCAACAUCUAUAUUAGAGUGGUGCCAGAGGCUGAAGAGAGAGAGAA